rnacentral:tRNA from 1 species
AGAGCGAUGGUGUAGCGGAAGCACACCCUCAACCAAUGAGAGGGGGCGCCGGUUCAAACCCGGCUCGCUCUCCA